rnacentral:rRNA from 1 species
AAUUUUCGGCAAUGGGCGCAAGCUUGACCGAGCAACGCCGCGUGAAGGAUGAAGGCCNNNGGGUCNUCAACUUUUGUCUUUGGNGACNAUAAUGACGGUACCCAAGGAGGAAGCCCCGGCUAACUACGUGCCAGCAGCCGCGGUAAUACGUAGGGGGCGAGCGUUGUCCGGAAUUACUGGGCGUAAAGGGCGCGUAGGCGGCCUGAUAAGUCAGAUGUGAAAUCCCAAGGCUUAACCGUGGGUUUGCAUUUGAAACUGUUAGGCUUGAGGGCAGGAGAGGAAAGCGGAAUUCCCAGUGUAGCGGUGAAAUGCGUAGAUAUUGGGAGGAACACCAGUGGCGAAGGCGGCCUUCUGGACUGCACCUGACGCUGAGGCGCGAAAGCUAGGGGAGCGAAC